UGAGUAACGCGUGAGGAACCUGCCUUUCGGAGGGGGACAACAGUUGGAAACGACUGCUAAUACCGCAUGAUACAUUUGGGGCCGCAUGGUCUGAAUGUCAAAGAUUUAUCGCCGAAAGAUGGCCUCGCGUCUGAUUAGCUAGUUGGUGGGGUAACGGCCCACCAAGGCGACGAUCAGUAGCCGGACUGAGAGGUUGGCCGGCCACAUUGGGACUGAGAUACGGCCCAGACUCCUACGGAAGGCAGCAG
rnacentral:rRNA from 1 species